UUGUGAAAUGGAGGUCUCGAUGGGGGUCAGUGCACAAGUUUACAGGGGGACAAGACUGCAGCAGAUGAACAUGAAUUGUUUAGUCACAUCCGAGUGCCAUCUUCACUGAGGAGAUAAAGGGACAAUCAGAAAAAGGCUACGAGAGAGAGAGAAGGGUUUGAGUAUGGAGAUGGACAGCAGAGGUGAAUAAAUAAUGAAACUAUUGAGAGAAUGUUAGUUAAAGAGCCAGAGGAUGGAAGGAGGGGAUGCCUUCUGACCAAUGCCGUAUAAAAACAACUGUAUAUGUGAAUACAUACACAUUGCUUCUGACAGGCUCAAUGGGAAAUCUCUGUAUUUGUUUUGUUUCAAUAGAAAGACCUGUAAUUCAACUGUGUCUGUGCAGAGUGAGAGAAGACUCAUGGAAGGAAUCUAUUGAUGCCUGAAGGGAGUCGGGGCUGAUUGGUGAAGUCAUUUACUGUAAGCACAGUUGGACAGAAGGCAUUGUCUGCUGAGAGGUUAAAGUGACAAAGGAGUGGUGUGUGUGUGUAGUGGUGCGUGAGGGAUACCUCGGCGUCGCCAGAGCCAGGAGAACGAGGCGGAGGUGUGCCAGUGGACCCCAGAGGGGGGAGGAAAGACCCCCAAGUUGAGGAGGAGCCCUCCACAUCCACCAGAGAGGUUAUAGGCACUAUGGUGUUACGGGAUCGGUUGCCUAUGAUUGGCUCCUCUGGAAGGAAACCAGCAGACACUUGAUCCUGUCAACAGAGACACACAGGGCAUGAAAUAAUAAACAAUGCACUGUAAAGCUCACAACAACACUCCUGGUGGUGAGAUGUUACCCCACCCUUCCACCAAGGCACCUGCAAGUUCCCGGACAUUUCUGAGGGAAUGGUCCUAGUCCUCACCCUCCGAUCCAACAGAUCCCAGA